rnacentral:rRNA from 1 species
UAGUGAGUUUGAUCCUGGCUCAGAGCGAACGCUGGCGGCAGGCUUAACACAUGCAAGUCGAACGCAUCCUUCGGGGUGAGUGGCAGACGGGUGAGUAACACGUGGGAACGUGCCCUCCGGUCUGGGAUAACCCUGGGAAACUAGGGCUAAUACCGGAUACGUGCUAUGGCAGAAAGGUUUACUGCCGGAGGAUCGGCCCGCGUCUGAUUAGCUAGUUGGUGGGGUAACGGCCUACCAAGGCGACGAUCAGUAGCUGGUCUGAGAGGAUGAUCAGCCACACUGGGGACUGAGACACGGCCCAGACUCCUACGGGGAGGCAGCAGUGGGGAAUUUUCCGCAAUGGGCGAAAGCCUGACGGAGCAAGACCGCGUGAGGGGAGGAAGGCUCUUGGGGUUGUAAACCCGUCUUUUAGUCAGGGGUAAGAAGAAAGUGACGGUACCUGAAGAAUCAGCAUCGG